UGCAUUCACUACGUAAGUCGCUCUGGAUAAGAGCGUCUGCUAAAUGACGUAAA
rfam:Salmo salar isolate Sally breed double haploid chromosome ssa06, whole genome shotgun sequence.